rnacentral:rRNA from 1 species
GCUAGUAAUCGCAGAUCAGCAUGCUGUGGUGAAUACGUUCCCGGGCCUUGUACACACCGCCCGUCACACCAUGGGAGUCGGAAAUGCCCGAAGUCUGUGACCCAACCUUAGGGAGGGAGCAGCCGAAGGCAGGUCGGAUGACUGGGUGAAGUCGUAACAAGGUAAC